rnacentral:lncRNA from 1 species
AUUUAACAAUAAAUAGGUUUCCAAUUUAUAAUUUUCUUUAAGCUGUCUAUAUGUUCUCAGCUUAUUACCAUGUACUGAUUUAUUAUCACAAAAUAUAUUUUCUUUCCAAUAAUUAAGAUAUCUAUCAUUAAGUUUGGUAUGAAUUGCAUAUAAUAAACGCCUUUUUGAAAUAGUAUCAUGAUUUUUCCAGACAUGUGAAAAAUUUAAUGUAGCAAGUAACUGUUCAAUCUUUUUAGCAAAUCCAUUGGUUAAUUGCAGGUUGGAACAAUAUACAUCUUUUAGUAAACAAUUGUUAUCAGAUUUGAUCACAUGCAACCAGAAGCCAAUUGACAGUUUUAAAGCUUCUAUAAAAAC